UUGGGGUUUAAAAGUGCGCGUAGGCGGCCGAUUAAGUCGGGGGUGAAAGCCCUGUGGCUCAACCACAGAAUUGCCUUCGAUACUGGUUGGCUUGAGACCGGAAGAGGACAGCGGAACUGCGAGUGUAGAGGUGAAAUUCGUAGAUAUUCGCAAGAACACCAGUGGCGAAGGCGGCUGUCUGGUCCGGUUCUGACGCUGAGGCGACGAAAGCGUGGGAGCAACAGGAUUAGAUACCCUAGUA
rnacentral:rRNA from 1 species